UCAUCUUCACUUCAACCCAUUCAAUUUGAUACUUUCAUUUGAUCUUUUUUUAUAAUUGUUUGAUUAUUUGUCUCGCCCUUUAUUAUUGUAGCACUUCCUUCCUAACUGACCUUCUUCCAGAGCUUCCACAACAUUGCUAAAGAACCUGCUUUUGUAGGGUGAAGUAGUUUAGGAAAUAGUUCUGAACCACUUUUGUUGUUAUUUAGUUUUUCUCGCCUAGGUUGCUGAUAUCUGAGGGGACAAUAUGUAUAUAAAGCUGAGCGAUUCAAAAAAGAAUUCAACAGUAGACAGAGAAAUCAAAUCGCGAACAUGAAAUCUAUGUUGGUAGCCGUUGCUUUCUUUUGCCUCGUGAGUGUGGCUUUGUGCGGGUCCCAUGGUAUUUCCAUAGGAAUUCCUCUUCCCUUCAUCAAGCUUCGUUUUGUAGACAUUGCUCAGCUGUUUGGAGGACAUGGUGGAGGACAUGGAGGAGGACAUCAUGGAUUUGGACUUGAACUAGGAGGACAUGGUGGACAUGGAGGCUAUCAUGGAUACUAAAGCAUCGAUCGAGAGUUGAAUGAAUAAUGUCAACUAGAACAAUACCUCAGGCGAAGAGGAUAGAUGGGAAGAAUGUUUAUAUUUUGUACAUAAGCUAUCCACUUUCAUAAAAAAAAUCUUCAUUGUAAUAUAACGAAUCUCUUCACUCUUCUUGAAUAAAUGCCAUUUGUUUUUAGAAGAAAAA